rnacentral:sRNA from 2 species
CAGCAGGCCGCUUAGGGUUCCGUCCGCAAACGCGGAGACUGGUCCGAGAAGCGGCACCCGCGUGGCAAAUUCCGCGACGGGCACACGGCGGGGCAAAAUCCCGGGAGAC